rnacentral:rRNA from 1 species
CUAAACUGGGAGCAACAGUACAACAUCAUUCUUGGAAUUGCCAAGGGAAUACUGUAUCUUCACGAGGACUCGAGCCCAAGGAUAAUCCAUAGGGACCUUAAAGCUAAUAAUAUUCUCCUUGACAAGGAGAUGGCUCCUAAAAUCGCAGACUUUGGAUUGGCACGGCUGCUACAAGAAGGUCACACUCAUACUCAAACCACUAGAGCUGCCGGAACACUGGAAGUCAAAUCCCCACCCACAUCACGGUUGAGGAGGAGGAUGAAGGAGGGGACGGAGUACUUGGAGGUAGCGGCCCAUGAGGUCCCACUGGUUGCCGUGGUUGCCGGUGUCCGCGCGCACCUUCUGUGUGAUGAGCGAGGAGAGCCGGGCCAGCACCUCCUCGUACUCCCCCGCCGCUGCACCACCUGCACAUCAAUCCCCACCCCGCCAAACGAACGCGGCAGCCAUCAGCCUGCCUGUUGCUUCUGA